UACGGGGGGGGCAAGCGUUGUUCGGAAUUACUGGGCGUAAAGGGCUCGUAGGCGGCCAACUAAGUCGGAUGUGAAAUCCCCAGGCUUAACCUGGGAACUGCAUCCGAUACUGGAUGGCUUGAAUUCGGGAGAGGGAUGCAGAAUUCCAGGUGUAGCGGUGAAAUGCGUAGAUAUCGGGAGGAACACCUGUGGCGAAAGCGGCGCACUGGACCACAACUGACGCUGAGGCGCGAAAGCGUGGGGAGCAAACAGG
rnacentral:rRNA from 1 species